UACAGAGGUCCCGAGCGUUAGGCGGAAUCACUGGGCUUAAAGCGUGUGUAGGCGGAUCGGUAAGUACCUUGUGAAAUCCCACGGCUCAACCGUGGAACUGCUUGGUAUACUGGGUCUCUUGAGCCACCUAGGGGCAAGUGGAACAAACGGUGGAGCGGUGAAAUGCGUAGAUAUCGGAAGGAACACCGGUGGCGAAAGCGGCGCGCUGGACCUCUUCUGACGCUGAGGCGCGAAAGCCAGGGGAGCAAACGGGG
rnacentral:rRNA from 1 species